rnacentral:rRNA from 1 species
CAGCCGCCGCGGUAAUACGGAGGGGCUAGCGUUGUUCGGAAUUACUGGGCGUAAAGCGCACGUAGGCGGCUUGGUAAGUUAGAGGUGAAAGCCUGGAGCUCAACUCCAGAAUUGCCUUUAAGACUGCCGAGCUAGCAGGUGAGAGAGGUAAGUGGAAUUCCGAGUGUAGAGGUGAAAUUCGUAGAUAUUCGGAAGAACACCAGUGGCGAAGGCGGCUUACUGGCUCAUUCUAGACGCUGAGGUGCGAAAGCGUGGGGAGCAAACAGGAUUAGAUACCCCGGUAGUCCCUGUCUCUUAUACC